AUCAAUGGGCAGAGGCUUCGCUGAUACUCAAGUCUGGUCCCUGGAUGUCAGCGCUUACCAAAUGUCUACAAUAAUGCCAGCUGCUGAAGUAAGAAUUAAACAACAACAACCAGUUCCUGAAUGGAAAAAGAAGUUUAAGAUAUGAUCUCUGAUCUCAAACAGCUUACUAGUGUGAAAUCACUAAAGUAUGUGAAACAAUCAA